UCACUGUGUUGAGGAAUCGAACGCCACGAUAAGAAAUCGCCAAAGUGAUGUCAGGGAUGACUCUAGGUUCGCGGCAAGUUUUCUUCAGUUUUUGUAUCGAUUUCUUUGUUGACUCAGUACCGCGUAACUCCUUUACCACGGUGGAACCUAGAUACUACGCGAUUUUUGAACAGAAAAAAAACCGUACCUCUAGAAUCUACAAGAAUCAUGUAUCAAAGAAACAAACGAUUAUCAAGUUGAACAGUAUGAUCUUCCAAAUGAAGAAAGCGUUAAAUGCUCGUUUAUUGCGCUAGAGGUUACACCAAAGAAGAUAAUAUUCUGAAUGAAAUGUGUUAUUAGCUACACCCACGCUAUAAUUAUGAAUUUUAUUAAAAGAAGCACAGAAAGAAGUAUAAAACAUGGAGUAAAGCUUCGAUUUCUUCAAUUACACUCUUUCUGAAAAUAUAAGAAGUUACCAACAGUUAAAAACUAUCAAGAAUUCGGCCAUUUCAUCUACAACGACCUAUGUAAAUUAUCCUUAAUAACCAAUAACAGAACCCAUCCACUACGCUAAAGCACUAAAAAGAUUUGGCUGUCUGGAAGGAACAGUUCAGUUCAAGGAAGAGACGGCAAAAGGCAUGUAAAAUAGUAAGAAGCAAGAAAAGAGAUAGAAGAGAUGAAAGAACGGAAGCAAUUAGACUUACGUUGGCGACGUACGUGACGCAGCCGGUGACUAGAGCUUUUGGCUGGUGCCUCCAUUGCGUCUUGAGGGUGGACGGGACACCGAGCAGCAACUCUGAUGGUGCCCUGAUCUCGAGUUGUUCCGGUGCCGAGAUCGCCCCAUUAUGCGAACUGGGUCGUUGGGGUGGCUGCGGAGCCGGCCUGUUUUUGCGAUGCCUUAAUGUGCUCGUGCCGGUCGAAUUCGUUCCGGUUAUCGACGUACCGCCAUUACCCUCCGUCGUUGUUUCCGGCAGCUUCUCCCGUAUCUCCUCCUUCAGCUGCUGUAUAUUCGACUUCUGCGGAAACGAGGUGCCGUCGAAUUUUUGAGUAAUUUGAGAGAGCCUUGUCGUAGAGAUUUUACAAAAAAAAAAAAAAAUACACGUAGCUUCUUCUGAUUUUUUUCUUUGUAUUAAAUGUUUGUAAUGGUAAAAUGUGUAUACAUAUGAUUGUAGAUAUGAGAAUAUUUCUAAUUUUCAAUUAUCAAGGAAAUUUGAAAAGUUUAAAGUAUAAAAUAAAUUAUCUUUCUUAACGUUUAAAAUUAUAUUCAAGAAGUCAUCUUGAGUUCAUGUUCCUUAAAAAUAUAUCAGAUUACCAUUUAUCAAAAUGUUAUAUAUAAAACAGAAUUUGUCUAUCAGAAGAUUGUCUAUCUAUUAAAAUUAUAAAAUUAAUUA